CGUGUAGGCGGCCAAGUAAGUCUUACGUGAAAUCCUGAGGCUCAACCUCAGGCCUGCGCGGGAUACUGCUUGGCUAGAGUCCGGAAGAGGAGAGUGGAAUUCCUGGUGUAGCGGUGGAAUGCGCAGAUAUCAGGAGGAACAUCCGUGGCGAAGGCGGCUCUCUGGGACGGUACUGACGCUGAGAGCGAAAGCGUGGGGAGCGAACA
rnacentral:rRNA from 1 species